rnacentral:misc_RNA from 1 species
UUGAAUUUUAAUGAAGAGUUUGGUUGUAGCUGGCCCAUUCAUUUGGGCAUGUGCACACCUUCCUCUUUCAUCCCACACACACCUGUGAACCUGUGAGACAGAGAUGGGGAAUUUACUUGCUGCUUUUUGGAAUACAAAGGCAAUAGGUUAUUGGACCCCCCCUCUGUCUACUCAAUUAAUAUAAACUCAAUUUAUUUUAAAGCGAAUGUAAUGGAUGUAACACAUCUCAUAC